AUGGCCUGGAGCCCUCUCCUCCUCAGCAUCCUUGCUCACUGCACAGGCUCUGUGGUCUCCUAUGAGCUGACACAGCCACCCUCAGUGACGGUGGCCCUGGGACAGUUGGCCAGGAUCACCUGUGGGGGAAGCAAUAUUGGAAGAAAAUAUGCUCAGUGGUACCAGCAGAAGCCAGGCCAGACCCCUGUGCUGGUCAUCUAUGAUAGCAACAACAGGACCUCCAGGAUCCCUGACCAAUUCUCAGGUUCCAACUCGGGGAACACAGCCACCCUGACCAUCAGUGGGUCCCAGGCUGGGGACGAGCCUGACUAUUACUGUGCUAUAGCUGGUGGCAGUGGGAGCAGCUGGCAGUGA